rnacentral:rRNA from 1 species
UACGAAGGGGGCUAGCGUUGCUCGGAAUGACUGGGCGUAAAGGGCGCGUAGGCGGUUUGGUUCGUUAGGCGUGAAAUUCCUGGGCUUAACCUGGGGGCUGCGCUUAAUACAACCAGGCUUGAGUGUGAAAGAGGGUCGUGGAAUUCCCAGUGUAGAGGUGAAAUUCGUAGAUAUUGGGAAGAACACCGGUGGCGAAGGCGGCGACCUGGUUCAUAACUGGACGCUGAGGCGCGAAAGCGUGGGGAGCAAACAGGAUUAGAUACCCGGAGU